rnacentral:rRNA from 1 species
CACGUGAGUAACCUGCCCUUGACUCUGGGAUCCCCGCGGGAAACGGCGGCUAAUACCGGAUAUGAGACGUACAGGCAUCUGUUGCGUCUGGAAAGAUUUAUCGGUCAAGGAUGGGCUCGCGGCCUAUCAGCUUGUUGGUGGGGUGAUGGCCUACCAAGGCGACGACGGGUAGCCGGCCUGAGAGGGCGACCGGCCACACUGGGACUGAGACACGGCCCAGACUCCUACGGGAGGCAGCAGUGGGGAAUAUUGCACAAUGGGCGCAAGCCUGAUGCAGCGACGCCGCGUGAGGGAUGAAGGCCUUCGGGUUGUAAACCUCUUUCAGCAGGGAAGAAGCGCAAGUGACGGUACCUGCAGAAGAAGCGCCGGCUAACUACGUGCCAGCAGCCGCGGUAAUACGUAGGGCGCAAGCGUUGUCCGGAAUUAUUGGGCGUAAAGAGCUCGUACGCGGUUUGUCGCGUCUGCUGUGAAAACCUGAGGCUCAACCUCGGGCUUGCAGUGGGUACGGGC